rnacentral:rRNA from 1 species
CGGUGUUUAACUGGCGUGAUGUGGGACGUCCUACCGGUGGGCUUAGCCUCGCGAGGGGCGGCCCAACUAAUAUCCCGUCGCGGUGCUCUUUACUGAGUGUCGAGUCGGGCCGGUACGUUUACUUUGAACAAAUUAGAGUGCUUAAAGCAGGCUAUCCUCGCCUGAAUACUGCGUGCAUGGAAUAAUGGAAUAGGACCUCGGUUCUAUUUUGUUGGUUUUCGGAACCCCGAGGUAAUGAUUAAUAGGGACAGAUGGGGGCAUUCGUAUUGCGACGUUAGAGGUGAAAUUCUUGGAUCGUCGCAAGACGGACAGAAGCGAAAGCAUUUGCCAAAAAUGUUUUCAUUAAUCAAGAACGAAAGUUAGAGGUUCGAAGGCGAUCAGAUACCGCCCUAGUUCUAACCAUAAACGAUGCCAGCUAGCGAUCCGCCGAAGUUCCUCCGAUGACUCGGCGGGCAGCUUCCGGGAAACCAAAGCUUUUGGGUUCCGGGGGAAGUAUGGUUGCAAAGCUGAAACUUAAAGGAAUUGACGGAAGGGCACCACCAGGAGUGGAGCCUGCGGCUUAAUUUGACUCAACACGGGAAACCUCACCAGGCCCAGACACCGGAAGGAUUGACAGAUUGAUAGCUCUUUCUUGAUUCGGUGGGUGGUGGGUGCAUGGCCGUUCUUAGUUGGUGGAGCGAUUUGUCUGGUUAAUUCCGAUAACGAACGAGACUCUAGCCUGCUAAAUAGGCGUACCUUAUGGUAUCGCGAAGGCCCCCGGCUUCGGCCGGUGGGUUUUUACUACCAACGUACAAACAAAUCUUCUUAGAGGGACAGGCGG